CGUAAACCAUGAUCAAUUACCAGGGAUAG
rnacentral:sRNA from 1 species